UACGAAGGAGGCUAGCGUUGUUCGGAAUUACUGGGCGUAAAGGGCGCGUAGGCGGUGUGUCAAGUCAGGCGUGAAAGCCCCGGGCUCAACCUGGGAACCGCGCUUGAGACUGGCACGCUCGAGUCCGGGAGAGGUGAGUGGAACUGCGAGUGUAGAGGUGAAAUUCGUAGAUAUUCGCAAGAACACCAGUGGCGAAGGCGGCUCACUGGCCCGAUACUGACGCUGAGGUGCGAAAGCGUGGGGAGCGAACAGG
rnacentral:rRNA from 1 species